rnacentral:rRNA from 1 species
UACGAAGGGGGCUAGCGUUGUUCGGAAUUACUGGGCGUAAAGCGCGCGUAGGCGGUUUAGUAAGUUGGAUGUGAAAUCCCUAGGCUCAACCUAGGAAUUGCAUUCAAGACUGCUGAGCUAGAGGCCUGGAGAGGUGAGUGGAACUGCGAGUGUAGAGGUGAAAUUCGUAGAUAUUCGCAAGAACACCAGUGGCGAAGGCGGCUCACUGGCCCGGUACUGACGCUGAGGUGCGAAAGCGUGGGGAGCAAACAGG